rnacentral:lncRNA from 1 species
AUUUUUUUUUUGUAAUGGGGAGUGAACCUAGGUGCACUACACAACUGAGCCACAUCCAAGGCCCUUUCUUAAAUCUUAUUUUGAGAUUUAAAGUUGCUCAGGCUGGCCUUGAACUUGUGAUCCACUUGACUUGGUUUCCCGAGUCUCUGGAACUUCAGGACUAUGCCACCACACCUGGCUUACCUGGCUUAAAAGUUAUUUUUUUAAUGAUAGUACGCUCAACCUGAAUUUUACCAUUUCAGCCAUUCUCCAGUAUAUACAAUGUGUCAAUGACAUCACAUUGUCACACAACCAAACUCUAGAACUUUUUUCAUCUUGCAAAACUGAAACUCUAUCCUCAUUAAAGACUAACUCCCCUCCCCCAGCCUCUGGCAAGCCACACUACUCUUUCUUUGAGUAUGAAGAUGCUAGGGACCUCAGGGGUGGAAUCACAUGCUAAUUGUCCUUCUGAGGUCUGCUUUGGUGUUUUAGCUCAAUGUCCUCAGCACAGGUCUGCACUGCAGCAUGUGACUGAGCCUGCCUCCCUACCAAGGCUGAGCACCCUGUACCAAUGCCACCUCUCCCUCCUCCAUUCACCCUUCCACAGUCCCCUGGACUCACUGAGUCUUUUCCCCAGCUGCCUUGGAGAAACUCUUUCUUUGGUGCCCUGCAGCCUUGACUGUGCCAGAUGUGAAUGGCCUGCCCCUGUUCUGCCUGGAGACUGCAGGCUCUGUGAGAUGGUGCUCUCUGUCCUGGGAAAAUCAAGAACGAUCCUCCCUCUUUCCUCUGGCCUCUUUCUCCUCUUUACUCACCUGGUUUUCACCCACAGACCUCAGAAGCUCUGUUCUUUUCUUUUCCCAUCUGCAACUUCUCUGUGUGAGCAUGACAUUUCUAUUGCCCAGUCCUCCGGUUCUCGGCCCCUUCCCCCUGCUGUCUCCAGGCUGCUGCUGAGCCAUCAAGAAGAGUCUCCAUCCCCACUCCAGGUGUUGUCUGUGGCCUUCCCACUCAGCUAUUUUCUUAAUACCUAUGGUUUCCA